rnacentral:rRNA from 1 species
CCCUUAGAUGUUCUGGGCCGCACGCGCGCUACACUGACUGGUUCAUCGAGUAUACAACCUUGACUGAUAGGUCUGGGUAAUCUUCUCAAAGCCAGUCGUGCUGGGGAUAGAUUAUUGUAAUUUUUAAUCUUCAACGAGGAAUUCCUAGUAAACGCGAGUAAUCAACUCGCAUUGAUUACGUCCCUGCCCUUUGUACACACCGCCCGUCGCUACUACCGAUUGAAUGGCUUAGUGAGCUUUCUGGACUGUUGCACUUCGUUGGAAACUUCGUUGUGCAUACGGGAAGGAAAUCAAACUUGAUCAUUUAGAGGAAGUAAAAGUCGUAACA